rnacentral:misc_RNA from 1 species
AGCGGUUUUUCCAAGUUUCACGUGAAAUUUCACAACAAUUCGUUGCUCUAUUGUUACACUUAUCAUUUUUCCGGCGAAACAAAAAAACAACUCUAAUGCGAAAGAAGGCUAUGGCUAUAUGAAUUUGUUUACAGAAGCGAGAGGUACUGCAUUCGAAAGAGAAGGCUUCACGCUAAACAGCUGUCGGUCGCUGGCGUUUGGCGCAUGCGUAACUUCUUCUGUAGCAGUAUGUAACAAGCCUGAUUAUACCAGAAGAGCUUCCAACAAUCCUAAGUUUGAUAUAUUCCAAUAUAUCGCCUAUCAAAAAAGAACCGAUUCCAGAUUUGGUGUGGGUUUUCGAUUAGGUGAACACGCGGAUUUUCAAAUUCUUAUUGAACUAGGACCACAGACUGAGACAGAUCCAAUAGGUGUAUCCAAUGAUGCCAAAAGGCGACGAGAUGCGAUGAUAAAUGCUGCGAUGAAGGGAGAGCUAGGACCAUUAGCACAAGCGGUGGCUAAAUAUCAAAUAAACCGUGAAAUCCAAAAAGAAAUGGAUGAACUCAAAAUAAUAGAAGAGAAGCUUAAAAAGAUUAAAACGGAGAAUACAAAGGCUCAAGAUACAAAAAUGUGAUUGGUUUAGAAGCAGCCGCCAUUUUGGAUUACUGCGCAUCCUCGGCAACAAAAUACCUUAUAUUCUUAGGAUGUGAUUACAUGUAACGUGGUAUACGAAAUUUAAAAAAGAAGAAACUCCACAUAUGGUGACGUAUACAUCGAUGAAGAAACUGCAGCAACAUGUAUUGUAGCG